GUCUGUUAAAAGAAAAGUUAUGAAAUCGUAUCUUUCAGGCAAUUAUUUUGAAGAAUUUAUCACUGCAUCAAUCUUUUGGCCCAACCCCAUUCUGGAGUCUGUCGUCUUGGUACAUACCUGUAAGUAGAAGAAGAUAAAUUGCGUUGAGUGGAGAGCAUCGAUCAAAAUAUUUUCAAAAAUUAUGAUGUUUUUCACUAAUCAAUUGUUUGAUGUUUAUAAACACAGAUGUACACAUGUUGGCUAAAGAGUUGGGGUAAAUAUUUAAGCAUUACUGGCAAAAUUUAUGUGAUAUGUUGUGGGGGGCAAAUAACAAACAAGGCCCAAAUACAAUAGAAGCAGUCGGAACUCGUUAG